rnacentral:snRNA from 1 species
GUAAGUUUGACAUUUAUAUAUUAUUAUAUUGUCUUAGUAAGGCUGGGGAUUAGCAUGGCCCCUGCGCAAGGAUGACACGCGAAAUCGUGAAGCGUUCCACAUUUUU